AUAUUUACCUGGCAGGGGAAACACCGUGAUCUGGAAGGUGGUUUUCUUAGGGCGAAACUCACCCAUUGCACUGCGGGUGUGCUGACCUCUGCGAUUUCCUCAAAUGUGGGAAACUCGACUGCAUAAUUUGUGGUAGUAGGGGACUGCGUUCGCGUUCUCCCCUG